rnacentral:piRNA from 1 species
UNCAAGUAAGCCCUGAAGUCUAUUGUGCUU